UCCCCGCUGGCGUAAUGGCAUCGCGUCUGAUUCUGGAUCAGAAGACUCCUGGUUCGACCCCAGGGUGGGGAGC
rnacentral:tRNA from 1 species